GCAAGGGCACUCUGGAAUCCUGGGGCUCAUUGACUGGUGUUGGGGUAUCUGAGCUGUUUAAAAUGAGCUCACUGCAAACUGUGCUUUCCAAAGCCACCUGAUCCAGUCUGGAGAGUCCUUGUGAGCACUUCUAAUACACACGAAGAAAGCACUCAGAGUGAUGUUUGGAGAGAAGAUCACAACACAGAAAGCCAGGAGAGGAACAGAAGAGAUGAUCAAGAAUGCACAUGCAGACAACAGCAAGAGGUGGCAGAGCAAAGUCCCUGGGCUCUUUCAUGGGACAUCUAAAAAUGUGGCCAUGGAAUCUGUCAGUUGGAGGACACCUCUGAAGGCUCCUGGUUCCUGGCCUGCUUGAGUUCCAGUCCUG